AUGUCCCAUCUCUGCUUCGUUCCCAAAGCUAACCGCACUGAGGUUUCCCCACCCUGGAUGCUCCCCGAAGACGGACUUUUUGCUGUUAUCCCCGCCCCAGUUGCCAGCCAGAGUGGUACCCAGGCUCCGCGGAGCUUUGCGCUCCUACUGCCCCUCACGGUCGGUCCUAGAGAGACGCGUCGGGCAGAUGCAAACCUCCUGACUCUUCUAGGGGGUAAGGGAAAAAAAGAGAAAAAAAUCCACCAAGUCAGAAACCUGCUUGAAAAAAACCAGUCCCUGAAGACUUGCCUAGCUGAGGGACAAAGUCUGGAGGCUAGUAGGAUGGGGAAAGCUCUGGGCUCUCCUUCCUUCCUCGACCUACGUGCACUCCACUUGCGCCAGCCUUCACUCACCUUGGGCUCUGCUCUGGUCCUGAAGUCCAGGAUGCCAGGUCGGGGCACCUCGAUGGCCCCGGGUCCUGCCGCUCCCCACACUGGCGACCCCCGCCGCCGCAAGCGCGCGCCGCACUCACCUGAGCCGCGCCUCGGCUGUCCAGCCGGUCCGGCGCCCGAAGUCGGCUCCUGGGCUUGGCCAUGGGCAGCGCCGUGGAGCCCCGGCGGCCAGCGGAGCGAGUUUUUCCAGGACGACCCGGGCCGGAGGGCGAGACACCGGCGCAGGCGCCCGCGGAGACCCAGUGGUGGCGGCGGUUCGCGGCUGCCCUCGCGCCGGGGACUUUGCAGGCGGGGAGGCGAGGUUAUCACCGCCGCCGAGGGGAGGAGCAGAGGGAGGAGCGGGAGCGGGAGGAGGGGACAGAGGAGGCCGAGCCCGCAGGGAGAGCGUGUCGGGCCGAGGAGGAUCGCGAGCGCCCACUGCUGCCCGGUCCGCUCCGGUGCUGCCCCGGGGUCGGGUCGACUCGGAGUCCGGCUCGCCACGCCGCUCCCGGGGCGGCCGGGCAGGGCUCGGGAAAUCCCGCGGACAGGUCCCCCAGGAGACUCCAGGAGAUGCUGGGAUGUAUCAAGAACCACUAGUCUCACCCUUGAAACCACCUUUAUCUGUGAUGAUACCACAGAUGACAAGGGAAAUCCUGCUAGGAAUCUACUUCAUAUCUUUACCAGUGGAAAAACACAGCUCUGGAGUCUCUACAGGAGCCUCAUGGAAUGUCUCUACUGGCAUCUUCAUUUGUCCCUGGAAAUCACAGCCUCUGUGUCUCUUGUGUUCGUUUCCCUGGAGUCCUGA
ensembl:lncRNA